rnacentral:tRNA from 1 species
GCAUGCAUAGCUCAGUUGGUUAAGAGCAUGGUGCUGAUAAUACCAGGGUUGCAGGUUCGAUCCUCUGAUGGGACAGCUGCAUUGCA